CAGUGGAAGUCUUUAACCAGGGCGCGAGGGAGGGGUGGCUUUGACAUUCGCGAACUGGCCGCAAGCGGUGGAAGCGGCCACAGCCCUCAACUCUCGUGGGACUGCAGGGUGGGCGCUUCUUUCUUUCUUCUUUUUUGCAGGGAGGCUUCGACUUACGACCGGAGUUGAGCCCAACAUUUCCGCUGUUAAGUGAGACAUGUGUGAAUUGUGGCCCAAAUUCCUGGAUGAUACUAGGUUGUGGACAGAUGGUCUACUCUAACUUUCUCCAUCAUAGGACCCUCCAGAUGUGUGAAUUUCAGCUUCCAGAAUUCCCAGCCAGAUGACAGAGUUGGAAGGGAUCUUGGAAGUCUUCUAGUCCAUCCCUCUGCACAAGCAGGAAACCCUAUACCAUUUCAGACAAAUGGUUGACCAAUCUCUUCUUAAAAAUCUCCAGGGUUGGAGCACCCACAAGUUCUGAAGGCAAGUCGUUCCACUGAUUAAUU